rnacentral:rRNA from 1 species
AUACGGAGGGUGCGAGCGUUAAUCGGAAUUACUGGGCGUAAAGCGCGCGUAGGCGGAUAUUUAAGUCAGAUGUGAAAUCCCUGGGCUCAACCUAGGAACUGCAUUUGAAACUGGAUAUCUAGAGUAUGGUAGAGGUGAGUGGAAUUUCAGGUGUAGCGGUGAAAUGCGUAGAGAUCUGAAGGAACAUCAGUGGCGAAGGCGACUCACUGGGCCAUUACUGACGCUGAGGUGCGAAAGCGUGGGUAGCAAACAGGAUUAGAAACCCGAGUAGUCC